AAUCGGAUGAGGAAGUAGGAAAGAGGGCAGGCAGCCAGUACGCUGAAGAGACCAGUGUGUACUACACCCUUUCCUUAUCCAGGAGAAUGGCAACUUCUACGAGGAGAGGUCUAAGAGCAAGUUUCAAUGACAUGAAGUUCUGCCGUUUGACCAGCAGAUCAGCAGGAGAAGACAAAGCGCUCAGGAGAGCAGCAGUGAGGCCAGUGGGCUCCCUGUGGGGGAAAGAAUGGAGAGUCUGCAGACGGAACUCACCUUUGAGAUAAAUAAAGCAGAAAAGACACUCAGUCAAGAUACCAACCCAGGAAUAACUGCGGGAGAAUUUUCAUCUAAAAGAAAUUCACCUUGUAAACUCUUUAAGAG
rnacentral:lncRNA from 1 species